AAGCGAGCGCAGGCGGUUUCUUAAGUCUGAUGUGAAUCCCCCGGCUCAACCGGGGAGGGUCAUUGGAACUGGGAGCUUGAGUCGCAGAAGAGGAAAGUGGAAUUCCAUGUGUAGCGGUGAAAUGCGUAGAUAUAUGGAGGAACACCAGUGGCGAAGGCGGCUCUCUGGUCUGUAACUGACGCUGAGGCUCGAAAGCGUGGGGAGCAAACAGGAUUAGAUACCCUGGUAGUCCACGCCGUAAACGAUGAGUGCUUGGUGUUGGAGGGUUUCCGCCCUUCAUUGCUGAACCUAACGCAUUAAUCACUCCGCCGGGGAAGUACGACCGCAAGGUUGAAACUCAAAGGAAUUGACGGGGGCCCGCACAAGCGGUGGACCUUGUGGUUUAAUUCAAACCAACGCGAAAAACCUUACCAGGUCUUGACAUCCUUUGACCUCUCUAAAGAUAGAGCUUCCCCUUCGGGGGCAAAGUGACAGGUGGUGCAUGGGUUGUCGUCAGCUCGUGUCGUGAAAUGUUGGGUUAAGUCCCGCAACGAGCGCAACACGUUAUUGUUAGUUGCCAUCAUUUAGUUGGGCACUCUAACGAGACUGCCGGUGACAAACCGGAGGAAGGUGGGGAUGACGUCAAAUCAUCAUGCCCCUUAUGACCUGGGCUACACACGUGCUACAAUGGGAAGUACAACGAGUCGCGAAGUCGCGAGGCUAAGCUAA
rnacentral:rRNA from 12 species